rnacentral:rRNA from 1 species
GGAAGUAAAAGUCGUAACAAGGUUUCCGUAGGUGAACCUGCGGAAGGAUCAUUACUGAUUUAGCGAACCGAGCGUUAGCGAGGUUUUGCGAUCAACUUGUAUUUAAAACCCACUCUUCAAUUUAUAAAAUUUUAUGUAUUAAUGAUAAAAAUAAAAGAUCACUUUCAACAACGGAUCUCUUGGCUCUCGCAUCGAUGAAGAACGUAGCGAAGUGCGAUAAGUAAUGUGAAUUGCAGUAUUCCGUGAAUCAUCGAACCUUUGAACGCAUAUUGCACUUUCUGGUAUUCCGGAAAGUAUGCCUGUUUGAGGGUCAGUUAAAUAAAAAUCGGUGUUGUUGCCGCUUUCCGUGGUGACGCGUCGGAAUUGAGUCGUCUUCGGUUAAGUGACUUAAAAUUUUAUAUGAUUUUCGAACGUAUUUAAAUUUAUUUGAACGUUUGAUAUCGAAUGCUUAUUAGGUUCGGUCAUCCUCAUGACUCGCGCCUAUAAUUUUUCAUUAAAUGACCUCAAAUCAGGUAAGAAUACCCGCUGAACUUAAGCAUAUCAAUAAGCGGAGGA